rnacentral:rRNA from 1 species
AUUGAACGCUGGCGGCAUGCCUUACACAUGCAAGUCGAACGGUAACAGGGAGCUUGCUCCGCUGACGAGUGGCGAACGGGUGAGUAAUGUAUCGGAACGUACCAUUCAGUGGGGGAUAACGUAGCGAAAGUUACGCUAAUACCGCAUAUUCUGUGAGCAGGAAAGCAGGGGAUCGCAAGACCUUGCGCUGAUUGAGCGGCCGAUAUCAGAUUAGCUUGUUGGUGAGGUAAAAGCUCACCAAGGCGACGAUCUGUAGCGGGUCUGAGAGGAUGAUCCGCCACACUGGAACUGAGACACGGUCCAGACUCCUACGGGAGGCAGCGGUGGGGAAUUUUGGACAAUGGGGGCAACCCUGAUCCAGCCAUGCCGCGUGAGUGAAGAAGGCC